rnacentral:rRNA from 1 species
GGACCCGCACAAGUAGUGGAGCAUGUGGUUUAAUUCGAAGAUACGCGCAGAACCUUACCAACACUUGACAUGUUCGUCGCGACUUUAAGAGAUUAAAGUUUUCGGUUCGGCCGGACGAAACACAGGUGCUGCAUGGCUGUCGUCAGCUCGUGUCGUGAGAUGUUGGGUUAAGUCCCGCAACGAGCGCAACCCUCACUUUUAGUUGCCAUCAUUAAGUUGGGCACUCUGAAAGAACUGCCAGUGAUAAGCUGGAGGAAGGUGGGGAUGACGUCAAGUCCUCAUGGCCCUUACGUGUUGGGCUACACACGUGCUACAAUGGCGCAUACAGAGGGCGGCCAACUUGCGAAAGUGAGCGAAUCCCAAAAAGUGCGUCGUAGUCCGGAUUGGAGUCUGCAACUCGACUCCAUG